UACAGGGGGUGCAAGCGUUAUUCGGAUUUAUUGGGCGUAAAGAGCGUGUAGGUGGUUUGUUAAGUCUGGUGUGAAAUCCCUGGGCUCAAUCCAGGAAGUGCAUUGGAUACUGGCAGACUAGAGUACAGGAGAGGAUGGCGGAAUUCCAGGUGUAGAGGUGAAAUUCGUAGAUAUCUGGAGGAACAACAGUGGCGAAGGCGGCCAUCUGGACUGUAACUGACACUAAGGCGCGAAAGCGUGGGGAGCAAACAGG
rnacentral:rRNA from 1 species